AGCGAACGCUGGCGGCAGGCUUAACACAUGCAAGUCGAGCGGGCGUAGCAAUACGUCAGCGGCAGACGGGUGAGUAACGCGUGGGAACAUACCUUUUGGUUCGGAACAACACAGGGAAACUUGUGCUAAUACCGGAUAAGCCCUUACGGGGAAAGAUUUAUCGCCGAAAGAUUGGCCCGCGUCUGAUUAGCUAGUUGGUGAGGUAACGGCUCACCAAGGCGACGAUCAGUAGCUGGUCUGAGAGGAUGAUCAGCCACAUUGGGACUGAGACACGGCCCAAACUCCUACGGGAGGCAGCAGUGGGGAAUAUUGGACAAUGGGCGAAAGCCUGAUCCAGCCAUGCCGCGUGAGUGAUGAA
rnacentral:rRNA from 1 species